rnacentral:lncRNA from 1 species
CCUGGAGAGAGGAGGCAGGGUGUCCCGGAGAAGGAGGAGGGCAGACACAAGCUGCUGCGUUUCUACUCUGCCUCCUGUGUCAGCAACUCUCCCCAUCCACAGGAAGGAGUCUGGGCAGAACUGAAGGUGUGUUUAUGUGCAUGCGCAUGAGUACUCAUUUUGCUAAGAAACCCAUGAUGAAGAAGGACUAAGAAAUGUAAUUGUUAGCUCUUAAGUUGGGGGCACCAUAAUGCGAUCCAUUUGUCACAAGGAGCUGCUAAACAGAUCAAAAGGCAUUGAAGGAUGGAGUGACAUGAUAUAUGACCUGCCCAAUCCUUGACUGCACAUCACAUAAGCAGUCCUAAGAUGUGAAGUAUAUGAUGCCACCAGUUGAAUGGAUUGAAGCUCCCACACGUACACUAUUGGUUUCA